GAUGAACGCUGGCGGCGUGCUUAACACAUGCAAGUCGAACGGAAAGGCCUCUGCUUGCAGAGGUACUCGAGUGGCGAACGGGUGAGUAACACGUGGGUGAUCUGCCCUGCACUUCGGGAUAAGCCUGGGAAACUGGGUCUAAUACCGGAUAGGACGAUGGUUUGGAUGCCGUUGUGGAAAGUUUUCUCGGUGUGGGAUGAGCUCGCGGCCUAUCAGCUUGUUGGUGGGGUAAUGGCCUACCAAGGCGUCGACAGGUAGCCGGCCUGAGAGGGUGUACGGCCACAUUGGGACUGAGAUACGGCCCAGACUCCUACGGGAGGCAGCAGUGGGGAAUAUUGCACAAUGGGCGCAAGCCUGAUGCAGCGACGCCGCGUGGGGGAUGACGGCCUUCGGGUUGUAAACUCCUUUCGCCAGGGACGAAGCGUUUUUGUGACGGUACCUGGAGAAGAAGCACCGGCUAACUACGUGCCAGCAGCCGCGGUAAUACGUAGGGUGCGAGCGUUGUCCGGAAUUACUGGGCGUAGAGAGCUCGUAGGUGGUUUGUCGCGUCGUUUGUGUAAGCCCGCAGCUUAACUGCGGGACUGCAGGCGAUACGGGCAUAACUUGAGUGCUGUAGGGGAGACUGGAAUUCCUGGUGUAGCGGUGGAAUGCGCAGAUAUCAGGAGGAACACCGAUGGCGAAGGCAGGUCUCUGGGCAGUAACUGACGCUGAGGAGCGAAAGCAUGGGGAGCGAACAGGAUUAGAUACCCUGGUAGUCCAUGCCGUAAACGGUGGGCGCUAGGUGUGAGUCCCUUCCACGGGGUUCGUGCCGUAGCUAACGCAUUAAGCGCCCCGCCUGGGGAGUACGGCCGCAAGGCUAAAACUCAAAGGAAUUGACGGGGGCCCGCACAAGCGGCGGAGCAUGUGGAUUAAUUCGAUGCAACGCGAAGAACCUUACCUGGGCUUGACAUACACCAGAUCGCCGUAGAGAUACGGUUUCCCUUUGUGGUUGGUGUACAGGUGGUGCAUGGUUGUCGUCAGCUCGUGUCGUGAGAUGUUGGGUUAAGUCCCGCAACGAGCGCAACCCUUGUCUUAUGUUGCCAGCAAUUCGGUUGGGGACUCAUGAGAGACUGCCGGGGUUAACUCGGAGGAAGGUGGGGAUGACGUCAAAUCAUCAUGCCCCUUAUGUCCAGGGCUUCACACAUGCUACAAUGGUCGGUACAACGCGUCUUGCGAGCCUGUGAGGGUGUGCUAAUCGCUGAAAGCCGGCCUUAGUUCGGAUUGGGGUCUGCAACUCGACCCCAUGAAGUCGGAGUCGCUAGUAAUCGCAGAUCAGCAACGCUGCGGUGAAUACGUUCCCGGGCCU
rnacentral:rRNA from 1 species